GGCUGUCCAAAGGUAGUGAGUUAUCUCGAUUGUUCAGUCAGUUACAGAUCAAACUCCUUGUUCUAUUCUUCCUCUACUUCCCACUACUGCACUUGACUAGUAUUAA
ensembl:Y_RNA Y_RNA Y RNA